AAACCAGCACCCCAAGUGGUCAGGAGGAUUAUUGGGCCUAAAGCAUCCGUAGCCUGUUCUAUAAGUUUCCGGUUAAAUCCACUAGCUCAACCAGUGGGCUGCCGAAAAUACUGUAGAACUAGGGAGUGGGAGAGGUAGACGGUAUUCGGUAGGAAGGGGUAAAAUCCUUUGAUCUAUUGAGGACCACCUGUGGCGAAGGCGGUCUACCAGAACACGUUCGACGGUGAGGGAUGAAAGCUGGGGGAGCAAACCGGAUUAGAUACCCGGGUAGUCC
rnacentral:rRNA from 1 species